CGCUGGCGGCAGGCCUAACACAUGCAAGUCGAGCGGUAACAGAUCUAGCUUGCUAGAUGCUGACGAGCGGCGGACGGGUGAGUAAUGCAUAGGAAUCUGCCCGAUAGUGGGGGAUAACCUGGGGAAACCCAGGCUAAUACCGCAUACGUCCUACGGGGGAGAAAGGGGGCUUCGGCUCCCGCUAUCGGAUGAGCCUAUGUCGGAUUAGCUGGUUGGUGAGGUAAAGGCUCACCAAGGCGACGAUCCGUAGCUGGUCUGAGAGGAUGAUCAGCCACAUCGGGACUGAGACACGGCCCGAACUCCUACGGGAGGCAGCAGUGGGGAAUAUUGGACAAUGGGGGCAACCCUGAUCCAGCCAUGCCGCGUGUGUGAAGAAGGCCCUCGGGUUGUAAAGCACUUUCAGUGAGGAAGAACGCCUGGUGGUUAAUACCCAUCAGGAAAGACAUCACUCACAGAAGAAGCACC
rnacentral:rRNA from 1 species